rnacentral:rRNA from 1 species
UACGAAGGGUGCAAGCGUUACUCGGAAUUACUGGGCGUAAAGCGUGCGUAGGUGGUUUGUUAAGUCUGAUGUGAAAGCCCUGGGCUCAACCUGGGAAUUGCAUUGGAUACUGGCAGGCUAGAGUGCGGUAGAGGGUAGUGGAAUUCCCGGUGUGAGCAGUGAAAUGCGUAGAGGAUCGGGAAGGAACAUCUGUGGCGAAGGCGACUACCUGGACCAGCACUGACACUGAGGCACGGAAAGCGUGGGGAGCAAACAGG